rnacentral:rRNA from 1 species
AAUGGGCGAAAGCCUGAUGCAGCAACGCCGCCUGAGGGACGACGGCCUUCGGGUUGUAANCUCUUUUAGCAGGGAGAAGCGAAAGUGACGGUACCUGCAGAAAAAGCGCCGGCUAACUACGUGCCAGCAGCCGCGGUAAUACGUAGGGCGCAAGCGUUAUCCGGAAUUAUUGGGCGUAAAGAGCUCGUAGGCGGUUUGUCGCGUCUGCUGUGAAACCCCGAGGCUCAACCUCGGGCCUGCAGUGGGUACGGGCAGACUAGAGUGCGGUAGGGGAGAUUGGAAUUCCUGGUGUAGCGGUGGAAUGCGCAGAUAUCAGGAGGAACACCGAUGGCGAAGGCAGAUCUCUGGGCCGUAACUGACGCUGAGGAGCGAAAGGGUGGGGAGCAAACAGGCUUAGAUACCCUGGUAGUCCACCCCGUAAACGUUGGGAACUAGUUGUGGGGUCCAUUCCACGGAUUCCGUGACGCAGCUAACGCAUUAAGUUCCCCGCCUGGGGAGUACGGCCGCAAGGCUAAAACUCAAAGGAAUUGACGGGGACCCGCACAAGCGGCGGAGCAUGCGGAUUAAUUCGAUGCAACGCGAAGAACCUUACCAAGGCUUGACAUAUACGAGAACGGGCCAGAAAUGGUCAACUCUUUGGACACUCGUAAACAGGUGGUGCAUGGUUGUCGUCAGCUCGUGUCGUGAGAUGUUGGGUUAAGUCCCGCAACGAGCGCAACCCUCGUUCUAUGUUGCCAGCACGUAAUGGUGGGAACUCAUGGAAUACUGCCGGGGUCAACUCGGAGGAAGGUGGGGAUGACGUCAAAUCAUCAUGCCCCUUAUGUCUUGGGCUUCACGCNUGCUACAAUGGCCGGUACAAUGGGCUGCAAUACCGCAAGGUGGAGCGAAUCCCAAAAAGCCGGUCCCAGUUCGGAUUGAGGUCUGCAACUCGACCUCAUGAAGUCGGAGUCGCUAGUAAUCGCAGAUCAGCAACGCUGCGGUGAAUACGUUCCCGGGUCUUGUACACACCGCCCGUCAAGUCAUGAAAGUCGGUAACACCUGAAGCCGGUGGCCCAACCC